rnacentral:rRNA from 1 species
UACGUAGGGUGCAGGCGUUAAUCGGAAUUACUGGGCGUAAAGCGUGCGCAGGCGGUCUUUUUAAGUCAGAUGUGAAAUCCCCGGGCUUAACCUGGGAACUGCGUUUGAAACUGGAAGGCUUGAGUGUGGCAGAGGGGGGUGGAAUUCCACGUGUAGCAGUGAAAUGCGUAGAUAUGUGGAGGAACACCGAUGGCGAAGGCAGCCCCCUGGGCUAACACUGACGCCUCAUGCACGAAAGCGUGGGGAGCAAACAGG